UACGUAGGGUGCGAGCGUUAAUCGGAAUUACUGGGCGUAAAGCGUGCGCAGGCGGUUUUGUAAGUCUGACGUGAAAUCCCCGGGCUUAACCUGGGAAUUGCGUUGGAGACUGCAAGGCUGGAGUCUGGCAGAGGGGGUAGAAUUCCACGUGUAGCAGUGAAAUGCGUAGAGAUGUGGAGGAACACCGAUGGCCGAAGGCAGCCCCUGGGUCAAGACUGACGCUCAUGCACCGAAAGGCGUGGGGAGCAAACAGG
rnacentral:rRNA from 1 species